AUCUCGCUUCCUCUUUCUCUUAUUUUCUAAUUCCUUCUUCCAUCGUUCUUUGUUUCUCAGGAUUUUGGUUUCUUCGGUAUGUAGCCAAAAUCAAUUAACCAAAAUAUUGUAUACUUUGAUGUCUUCCGAUUUUGAUUGCUUCCUUUGAUGGGUUCCGAUUUUGAUUAUUCUUUACCAGGCGAUGAUGUAUUUGAUUUGUGACUCCAUUGAUGGGUUCCGAUUUUGAUUGUUCUAUAGCAAGAUUGAGGCGAUGAUGAGUUUUAUCUCCGAAAAAAAUUCAGAUCCAUCAUUGUUUUUGAGCAGAGCAACUCGGAAGGCAUAUCCGACCGGAAUAUGCAACCGGUGUUUGCAGCCAUAUCGGUGUUUGAUCGCCGUUGUCUGAGUCUUUCCAUCCGUUCUAAGUGAAAUUGUGGAAUUCGAUGUUUUGUUGUCUUUUUUUGGAGUUUUGUUGCCUUUUUUUUACUAUUAUCACAUACUGUAUAUGUUUGUUGGUCUUUCCAUCCGUUCUCGUAUUAAUGUCUUUGGUUUGGAGUUUCUUAAGUAAAUUGUUUGAUUUAUAUAUCUUCUGAUAGGAAAUGGUGACAUAUUGUUCCAGGAAUGUGAAGUUCUUAAGGGGUGCGAGUAUCCUCAAUAUUACACCAUGAUAUGAUAUUCAUUUCAUUUAUGACAGCCGGAUGUUUUGUCGAUAAGAGUAACAUGUUCACUAUAGGGUUAAAGUUCUGCCCACCAGUUAUUCGAUGAAAUGCUUAGGCCACUUCUUCCAUUUUGUCAUAAUAGUUCACCUAUAACUUAUCAUUUCAUAACCAAUUAAUAUGACUGUAUUGGAUGGAUGUCAUUUUUGUUCUGAAUAUUUGUUAUAUGAGUCAAUAGUUGUCCA